rnacentral:rRNA from 1 species
GCUCAGAGCGAACGCUGGCGGCAGGCUUAACACAUGCAAGUCGAGCGGGCAUAGCAAUAUGUCAGCGGCAGACGGGUGAGUAACGCGUGGGAACGUACCUUUUGGUUCGGAACAACACAGGGAAACUUGUGCUAAUACCGGAUAAGCCCUUACGGGGAAAGAUUUAUCGCCGAAAGAUCGGCCCGCGUCUGAUUAGCUAGUUGGUGGGGUAAUGGCCCACCAAGGCGACGAUCAGUAGCUGGUCUGAGAGGAUGAUCAGCCACAUUGGGACUGAGACACGGCCCAAACUCCUACGGGAGGCAGCAGUGGGGAAUAUUGGACAAUGGGCGCAAGCCUGAUCCAGCCAUGCCGCGUGAGUGAUGAAGGCCCUAGGGUUGUAAAGCUCUUUUGUGCGGGAAGAUAAUGACGGUACCGCAAGAAUAAGCCCCGGCUAACUUCGUGCCAGCAGCCGCGGUAAUACGAAGGGGGCUAGCGUUGCUCGGAAUCACUGGGCGUAAAGGGUGCGUAGGCGGGUCUUUAAGUCAGGGGUGAAAUCCUGGAGCUCAACUCCAGAACUGCCUUUGAUACCGAAGAUCUUGAGUUC